ensembl:lncRNA
CCCCCCACCCACCCACUCCCUCACCCACCCGCUCCCUCUCUCGCUCUCCUCCAACCUGGAACCACUCACCACGCACACACACGUGCACACCUACCAACCCCUGUGUUGUCAUGCCUUCAUAUUCGGCCAACACAUGAGCACUUUCUGCAGCCGUGUGCAAUUAUGCCGUGCGUACAUGCAUAAACACACACAUGGGGCAAUGCAAGUAAAUGUGUGUGUGUGUGUGUGUGUGUGUGUGUGUGUGUGUGGGUGGGUGGGAAGGAAAUGCAAAGCAGAGCUGAAGCGCAGCGCCCAACGUGGCUGGGGUUGAGAAGGCGGGGCCGGGGCGUGCGUCUCCCCCAGUCUUCUCCCAUUAGCGCCAGUAGGGGAGACCCCACCCUCCGGCUGCCCCCUUAUUGGCACCUUUGCCUGCACCCCAUCACUCAUCUCCCAGCCAUCAUCCAUCACCCAUCGCGAUCAAUAGUAGGCCACGCAUUCAUCAGCCCCGGGGUGCUGAUGGGAAAGAGGAGGGUCAGCGGGAGGGGAGGGUGGGGGGUUAUGGAGCGAGGCAUCACGUUGGACAGAGAGGGAGUGGAGAAAGAGGCGAGAAUAUUAGAAAGUGGGGGGAAAAGGAGUAAAAAAGGGAGAAAUGAAGGAGGAGGAGUCAUCUAGGGGAAAAUGUGAGAGUGAGAGCUUCGCUGAGAAGCCAAGGAGGCGGACUGAUAAAGCAGCAACAUGUUUACUUGUUUAUGGCGUUCGGUGUCCCCGAGAGGGAGACUAAUACAUGUUUUGGUGUCAGAUGUGAAAAUAAUAUAGGGGUACAUUAAAAACUAAAAAUAAACACUUACAGGAGUCCUGGGAAAGGAUGAACGCCAUUGCUCCGGGAAUGAUUAAAGGAGGCCUGUCUAAUUUGCCACGGUCACAUUUCUAGGUGACAGCGCUGAAGCCAUCAUAAUGAUAUGUGGUGGUUCUGCUCAUUGCUUCACUGCGCGACAAGCGGCAUGAAAAAAAGAAAAAAAAGGAAGAAAGAAAGAAUCUUUCCGGGCAAAGAGAUAAAUAUAACUCAAAGGAUGUGCAUGAUUAUACACACAAGCAUACAAACAUGCACACGUACACAUGUGGGAAACAGAAUGGUGCAAUGUCCCUGUCAGUCAUUCGGUGUUUGUCAGUUUCCGGCAAGGCUCUGCACUUUGUGCUGACAGCCCAUAAGUUGUGCCGACACACACACACACACACACACACGCACACACACACGCUGGCUCAGGCCUUUCCCUUCCUGACUGAAGGUGGACGGGAAUAGAUCGCACUUUAAGAUGAUGGAUGCUCCCUCUGCCCAGAAAGGUUAGGGACAGGCCGAUAAGUUACUGAGCACCACGUUGGGGGCGAGUCGUAGAGGUGGCCAACAAAUAUACAGUAAUUGUGAUUGCUUGACAGCCGGGACAUGGACCUCUGUCAUGACUGGACCACACUGUGACGUAUUUGGUGGGAGAUGUAGAAAAAAGGGACAACACGGCAUUUCGGAAAGGCCAAUUCAUUUAUCACAUGCUUCAUUUAUUUGAGCUAGCUAUUUGCACUUUUUCUUUUCUUUUUUUUUUAAACGUCAUUAGAAUUUAUUGCAUGCAAGUAAUAUUGCGGCAACAUUUCUUUCACUAUAUUAUUUCAGAUCAAUAAUAUUAAAUACAGUUAGACCAAACCAGAGACUAUACGGUGGAAACUGGAACCUUGAAGGUGACGGCAUCCACAAGGGAGUGUGGGUCGGGAUUGGGGGGGGUGGGGGUGCAAAGAGAGCUGUGGCUUAGGUGUCGUGUCCAGAAGCCACCACCACCACCACCGUCAUCAUCCAGUCCCCCCGGGUCCCCUCUGUGUGUCAGAUGUCGCUCUCGGGUUUCGAACCCGGGCCUCCAUCUACCGGAUGCUCUACAUUGGAUUAUUCAGGAGAGGCUAAACGCUCUUUGUAGCGAGCUGAGUGGGACAAAACCCCACCCGGGCGAGGAUAAGCCGCCGCAAGCUCUGAAGCAAGUCUCCGCCCGUAGCAUGAAAAUGUUGUGACAUCUCAGCUGGAGGGACUUAUUAUCUCUGUAAGAACCACCGCUUGGUGGGACAAUGAAGAUUUGAUUCUAACUGAUAAUUAAAAAUAACAGUCUUUCACAAUUGUUUGGCCUCUCUUUUCCCUUCCUCCCGCUGACCUGUAACACCUCACAGGCUGUGGGCUGCUCUUUCUUAAAUAUUUCAUUGUGAGCCCGUCCAUUGUCUUCACAGUUCACACAAAAGGCACACGACACAAACCGAGCGGCGUGCGCGUGCAGAGGCAGGCGGUUGUGCACGUGCGUGCGCCGAGUCUCUGCGUGUGUUCCUGUGUAAAGGGAGACCAGUUGCAGAUAAUGGACGUCUGCGUUUAAUAUUGGAGGAGUUUGGAGGUAACCGCAAACCUGGGGUCACCGUGUGUGAAGCUGGACACCUGAUCUGCAGCACACACCUAUUGUCAAAAUGGCAGCCCGGAGGACUGAUAUCCUAAACCUGAUUUUUGUUCCAUUUGCCUGACUCACCGAUCCAUUUUCGGUCCGUUCAGUUCCCAAAGGGAACUCGUUCACAUCCACAACUCUGCAGUUUCCCUCAGCCCUAUGAAGCUUUAAGGCAGUUUCACUAGCUACUUACUCAUCAGCAGCAUCAAAAGCUCUGAUAAACUCCCCGUUCUCUACCAGCACAGCACUGAAACUAGCUGUUGAAGAGUAAAGAGGCAGCUAUCUCCCUCAGGAAUGGGAGACCAGACCAGAGCCGUGAAUAUUGAACUUGCAUUAAUCAGGUUGGCGUCUCUAAAGAAUGCAAGUUUAGCUUUUUAAGUGAUGCUUUUGCAUGAAUUCAACUGUUAGGGUUAAACUUUGUAUGAUAAUGAUAUGAGAUGUCAGACAUAGAUCAAGGCUCUUUGCUGUACUGUCUCCAAAAUGGCGGAAUGAGCUCCCUGAUGACCUCAUGACCGCAGAGAGCCUUCACAUCUUCUGCCACAACCUAAAGACACACCUCUUCAGACGCGACCUUGAUUAAAAAGACUUAAAUUGUAGCACUUAAAUUGUACUUAUAAUGUCUCUUAUUUAAUUGCACUUUCUUGUUUCUUCUUCUUUUGAGUUUGUAUCCUUUGGAUAAAAGCGUCAGCUAAAUGACAUGCAAUGUAAUAUAAAGUUAUAGUUGAGUCAGAAUAUUUACAGAAUGUUUACAGAAUAUUUACUUGGUUAUUGCAGUUCAAAUUUUUGUUUGACUCUCUCUGCCGUCAGAUAAUGAGAAAAGAAGGAAAAGAAAAGGCGACGAGCAACAAACAAAAGAAGAAAUACAUUUUUAGGUUAACAGGUUCCUCCCAUUUAAUCCUGUCAUUGGCGUGUUGGAGUGAUGCAAUGAGGUUAGGUCACUUAUUUUCCUGACCCUUAACCUUUUGAUCCCUGACAUCAUGGUGUAGCAGCGCGUGGAGGUAUUCCUUUCUGGUGGCUCAGAUGGAUCUGGACUUGGCUGGUUAAAGGAGGAGUGGCAUCCGAGCUGGGGUACUUUUGUACGGCCUGUAUCAUUAAUGGGGCAUUGAUAAAGAUACGCAGAUCUCCUGGCACUUUGGCGACAGGCUUUGAAAACCGAUGCGUUUAUCUUGUGUUUUCCAUCUAGGCCACGUUCUGGUUCACAACACAUGUGGGUCUGGCUCUUUGUUUUUGGAAAAGAAGUGACGAUCGUUUAAAGGGAAAGCAUCUGAAAAUAUCACACGGGAAAUAGCAAAUUUCUGGUACGGUUAAAACAAACACAAAGCUCGGAUGUCGGACCUCAUGCACUGGUAUUUUACUACUGUGAAGUAAAUUUGCGGCAUAAAUCUUGCUGCAUUAAAAAUGUUCUCUUGAGCUGAUCAAGAGGCUUGAUGGGGCAGUGCAGUCCAGACGUAAAUCAGCAUAAGUGAUCGGAUGGAUUUUUCUAUGUUAAUGCAGCGCGGCCGCGGCGUACACAAUUACUCAGAUGAAGGGAGGGAGAGCGAGCGACGUCCAGCGCCCGGCCCUCUAUUUGCCAAACCGAUGCGGUUGGGUCAUCAAAUCCACAAAGCGAUUGACCCGUCAAUUGACCCCUGCUGACCUCUCGGGCCAAUCAAGCUAAUGGCGGCUGGUGGUUCGAGCUUUAUCGCUCUGGUAUCCUUUCACUGGCGCACCGUAAACACACACAAGCGCAGACGGGCAUCCAGUCCUACCUCACGCAGUAGGUUUCUAACUCAGAUCAGUUUUAACUGCCUGUAUCGGCGCGGCCUUCAAUGAGCUACUCUCGUUAGCAAGUGACCUUUCUCUCGGCGUCGCUUGUUAAAGUCAACAGUUCCUUGAUCACUUUAUGAUACCGUUGCAUGAUUGGACUACUAAUCUGUACGGAUACACAAAUAACCUUUUGUCACACAUCAGCGCCGUGAGUGAAAUGAACAAAAUAUUUGUUCAUAUCAAUCUUUUAAAAUGCCGAAUCACCAUAUUCCCUCAAAACUGCCUCAUGUGAUCAAUAGGUUCCUGCAGGCUGCAUCUCCAUAAAUCAAUGGUAUGCUAAAAUGUGUGUGUGUGUGUGUGUGUGUGUGUGUAUGGGGAAGUGACAGUGGGCAGUAUUGAUCAAAUCCAGUAUGU